rnacentral:lncRNA from 1 species
UCAUUCUUGUGGGCGUAAAUGAAACCACAAAUCCAGUAUGGUCCAGGGCACGUCGUCAGGCAGCCAGGACUAAUUAAUCCAACGCAUUCCUAUCUGGGCACGCGCUCAGCCACGGCUGUGCUUAGGGACCACUCUCAGUACAUGGGCUUAUUUUGUCACUUGGUUUUCUUUCCCUGAUUAUCACCAUUUUAAUUGUAUUUCUUCAUUUAAAAGAAUAUAUUAAGUAUGCAAUUAAAGUAUAUAAAUAAGACAAAGUGUUUAGGCUUUGACUAUAUGCCUACUCAUCUUUACAUAGCAAAACAAUAAAUAUCUCUAUUUGGGCUGACAUAUAAUUAGUGCUUAGUAAGACAGUAUGUUCAUUUCAAGCCAUGC